rnacentral:lncRNA from 1 species
UCAUUCACCUCUUCCCAACAGAUCGAUGAUCUGCAUGGGCGGCUAUAUAACGCCUCGUACGGAGCUAUGCCGAUACUCAUUUGGUAUCUGUUAUAGUAGGUGAACUCUAAUAAGGAUAAAUGAUCAUCUCAAUGGGCCCCGAAGUCAAGAACACAAGCUCAGAGUAUAUCCUCUAGUGUGCGGAUCAUCCUUUCUGAUUGUCCAUCGAUAUGAGGGUAGAAUGCGAUACUAAAAGAUAAUUUCAUUCCCAUGACUU